rnacentral:rRNA from 1 species
AACGUAGGUGGCGAGCGUUAUCCGGAUUCAUUGGGCGUAAAGAGCUUGUAGGUGGCGCGAUAAGUUGGACGUGAAAACUCCGGGCUUAACUUGGAGAGGCCGUUCAAUACUGUCGUGCUGGAGGGUGUCAGAGGGAAGUAGAAUUCCUGGUGUAGCAGUGAAAUGCGUAGAUAUCAGGAGGAAUACCCGUGGCGCAGGCGGCUUCCUGGGGCACACCUGACACUGAGAAGCGACAGCUAGGGGAGCAAACGGG